ensembl:lncRNA
GGCAUAAGUAAUGCGCGAACAGCUGUUUCUUAAACACGUGUAAAGCGAAACAUGCAGAAGAAGUCUGUGAAGCUGAUCUGAUUUGUUUUUGAAGCAAUGUGAAUAAUUAAUACAGGAGGCGGAAAUGGCUUCUUAAUUUGAUGAGGGCAGACUUAUCCCCCGACAUGACGAGAGAAGAGUCCGACAGAGCUGGGUAUGUGGUCUGCGAACAACAUUUCAGGCCAAAGGACAUAAACUCAAAGGGUAGAAGAAAACGUCUGGCUCCUGAAGCCGUCCCCAUCCUUCUGCACACUAUAAAGGAGGAACAGAGAGAUUUGGAGAUGCCUUCUACUGAUGUUCAUGCUCCAGUGCCUCUGCAAGACACACCCCCAUAUGAACAGGUCGUGGCAAUGUUUAACAAGCUGCUGGCAGAGAAGGAUGAGAAAAUCAAGGAUCUGAAAAGCAUUCUGCAGAGAGAGAGGGCCAGAAUGCGGCUGAUGAAGUUCCGCAUGAACAGCAAAAUCAGAGAACUGAAAAGAAAACUCGAACAGCAGCAGAACAGUAGCAGUGACCAAGGCGAUCAGCUGACUGCUGCCUCCGACUGCCUUCCACAGGCAGCAAAGGAGUUUUUUGACAAGCAAAUAGCCAUGGCCAAGGUGAGGAAACACGGCCAGAGAUAUGACAAGAAACAAAAGGACAUGGCAAUCCAGCUGUACAAACAGAGCCCAAGCUGUUACUCUGAACUCCAAAAAAUGUUUCAGUUACCGUCUUCAACCACUCUGAGGAGGCACCAGGUGGUCAGUCAGGAAGCGAGUCCAAGUGAAGAGGAGGAUCGGGAGCCUUUGGGAUGGCCUGCCAGUCAGAAGGACACACCAGGUGACCCAGAGAGAGGUGAGGAGGUGAAACUUGCUGAUGUAGCUGGAUGGGUGGUGCAGAAAGUGGCUCAAGAUCCAGAAGUCAGUGCUUGUACCGAAUGUGAAAGUUUGCUUGUGGAGACCAAUGACACAGAGCACAACUAUCACACACGGAUGGAGAAGGAUGCCGUCUCAGCUGUGAAGAAAAGCCCAACCUCUGCCCGGCUGCUUCAUCCAUCCGAAGCUUUCAAAGAAUGCAUUUCGAAAUGUGACAGCGUCAUCCAAAAAAUCCCCCCAAAUGCAAUGGCCCCGAAGAAAUUAAAGGCCUACCUCAGAGCCAGCGGUGCUUUCAGUGAGCUCCACCGCAUCCAUCCUGCCCACUCAAAGGCCAUCGAGAGGGUCGCCGUGAAUAAAUAUGUGAUGUGCAGGGUGGUGGCCGAGCUGAAGGAAACAGCACAAAACAGAAAACGCACACAUGAGAAAAAAAGUGCUGCGUGUCAAGAGCUAAAUGUUAGCACCCUUGAAGUAAAUCAGGACUAAAUAAAUAUAAAAUGUUGUUAAUUUGAUAAUAAAUUAUUUUAGGCCAUUCUAACUUGUCUGUGUUGUUUCAAGCUUUCCUCCAUUUGACCUAGACGCAUUUAGUUUUUCAAUUUCAGUUCAAUUUUACAUAGUGCCGUGCCCAAAGGCACUUAUUGUAAGGUAAAGACGCUGCAAUAAUACAAAGAAACCCCCAACAAUCAGCUGUUUCAGUCUCCAUCACUGUAUUCUAGCUGUCCGGUGCGUGUACGUGGGUGUGCGAAGAAACUCUAGCCAGAGAAAACAUGAUAUAAAUGAUUUAAAUCAGUGGAACUUUUGGUUGCUUCCUUAUUCUCCUUAUUUUACCACAACACACAGAUCCAUGUAUAAUUUGACACCGAUUUUCCAUUGGAUGCUAUUCCUGACACAAGCCUCCC